rnacentral:rRNA from 1 species
AUGGCGGAGAAGGCCGACGCCGAGGGGGAGGUGGUGGUGAAGCUGGACUGGCGCGAGUCGAUGCCGCACCCGGACGAGCGCGUGGAGUACGAGCUCUGGACCAACAGCAACGACGAGUGCGGCCCCCGGUGCGACGAGCAGGUGGCCUUCGUCCGGAGCUUCCGGGGGCACGCCCAGAUCCUGGAGCGCGGCGGCUACGCCCGGUUCAUGCCGCACUACAUCACCUGGUACUGCCCCCGAGGCGUUCCGGCUCACGCGGCAGUGCCAGUCGCAGUGCAUCAACCACGGCCUGUACGUAGUACAUGCACACGCACGCCAUUGCUGGUCUAG